rnacentral:rRNA from 1 species
UACAGCGGUCUCAAGCGUUGUUCGGAUUCAUUGGGCGUAAAGGGUGCGUAGGCGGCGCGGUAAGUCGGGUGUGAAAUCUCGGGGCUUAACUCCGAAACUGCAUUCGAUACUGCCGUGCUUGAGGACUGGAGAGGAGACUGGAAUUUACGGUGUAGCGGUGAAAUGCGUAGAUAUCGUAAGGAAGACCAGUGGCGAAGGCGGGUCUCUGGGACGGUACUGACGCUGAGACGCGAAAGCGUGGGGAGCGAACAGG